ACAAAAAUUAAGACUGUUUUUAGCCACCAAAGUUCUAAAGUUAUUUGUCUCUAUGUUAUCAUGUCAUGUGUACAAAGAAAUAGUCAAAAAUGUAAAAGAAGGGGUUUUCUGGAAAUUUACUCUAGUGUUCUUAUUCUUGUAGUUUGUUAAUAAACUGUCUUUAUUCCUUUUAAGUUUUAAGCCUGUUUUGCUCUUGUUUUAAUCCAUAUCUCACAACAAGAAAUAAGUAAUUUCUUUAGCUACUGGUUUAAAACCACGACAGAUAUGUACAGGAAUGGAAAGGGAAACACCAGCCAUUAAAACAGAAAACAGCACUAAACUUUUUCUGAGCACAUGUGUCACCAUUUUUUAGAUGGUUAAAGAUUUAAAACUUUAAGGGGCUUUGCAAGACAAGACAAUGGCAUAAACCCUCUACACCCUUUCCAAACAGAACAUUGCUUCUCAUUAGCUGAGGACAAUAGGAUCAAAGAUUGAAAGCAAAGUCAUUGCCCAGUUUAAGAAUGAAUGAUUGUAUACUUCCCAUUGAAAGGCUUUUGAGGAGGAUUCCUUAUUCACAGAAAUGGUUUUGAAAAAGGCAUUUUUCAUUGGGGGAGCCAUGGUGCUUUGAUUCCUUUUUGCAGUAAGUGGACAAAGUGGACGGAAAAGCAGAACUAAACUGGUAGCUGUUGUCAGUCUUUGCUAAUGCCUGAUAACAACUCUGUUACCACCUUGAACACCCAGAGCUGCAUAUGACAAUGUGGAUAUUUAGGACUGGGUACAAAUCCCAGCAGUUAAAAACCACUUUCUUAUUUUCUUUUUAAUGCAGAGUAGCCAUGGCAGCAGGGAGCAUUAAGGAGACUGGAAACCUGGCUUUGAAGUGUUGAUUUACCUCUGUGUGGCGGUGUGCAAGGCAUGGCAGAGUGCCAGCUGCUCCAUAAGCAGCUGCAUUUGCCCUGGGACAGCUGGAUGUCUUUAAGGCAGCACUGGGAACUAUUCUAGCCAUCCUCACAUGAAACUGGAAGCACAAGAAGAAAAUAUAUAUGGUCACAGCAACUAUGGCAUAUCUUUAAUAAUCUCCUCUCACUGCUUGGUCCAAGAGCCAUGAGGGUUUAAACCCUUCCUGUAGACCACUGCCACAGGCACCACUAGGGAGCUCAGCCCUGAGUUUGAUCACUCAUCCUCUUCUCACUCACUUGAAGAACGGGAAUUUUGCUUCACUGCAG
ensembl:lncRNA